UACGAAGGGGGCUAGCGUUGUUCGGAUUUACUGGGCGUAAAGCGCACGUAGGCGGAUCGUUAAGUCGGGGGUGAAAUCCUGGAGCUCAACUCCAGAACUGCCUUCGAUACUGGCGAUCUUGAGUCCGGAAGAGGUGGGUGGAAUACCCAGUGUAGAGGUGAAAUUCGUAGAUAUUGGGUGGAACAUCCGGUGGCGAAGGCGGCUCACUGGUCCGGUUCUGACGCUGAGGCGCGAAAGCGUGGGGAGCAAACAGG
rnacentral:rRNA from 1 species